AUGCUGCCAGGUUCCCCAAACAGACCCACCAGUCCACCAGCUGAUACGGCAGAUCCCCGGCCUCCGGCGACCGGCAUGCCCGCGCCACCACCGCCGGCCGGCGGACGGCGGCGGUGGAGGCACCGGCUGAGCCCCACGCUCGCGCGGGACCGCUGCUACGCCCGCGCCUUCCGCUCCGCCGGCCUCCGCCAGGCCGCCGUGCCGCUCCCCGACGGCGCCGUCGUCCACUUCUGGCUCCCGCGCCCCGACCCGGCGCUCCACCCCGUGCUCCUCCUCCACGGCUUCGGCGCCAACGCCACCUGGCAGUGGGCCCCCUUCCUCCGCCCGCUCCUCGCCGCCGGCCUCGCUCCUUUCGUGCCGGACCUCGUCUUCUUCGGCAACUCCGCCUCCCCUGCCGCCGACAGAUCCCCCGCCUACCAGGCCGCCUCCGUCGCAGCCGCCAUGGCCGCCCUCCCCGGCGUGCCGCAGAGGUACAGCGUCGUCGGCGUCAGCUACGGCGGCUUCGUGGCCUAUCACCUCGCCCACGCCUUCCCCGCCGUGGUGGAGCGGCUCGUGCUCGUCGCUGCGGGUGUGUGCCUCGAGGAGGCCGACCUGGCGUCAGGGCUGUUCGCCGUGGACGACAUCUCGGAGGCGGCCAGCCUGCUGCUGCCGCAGCGGCCGGAGGAUCUGAGGAGGUUGGUGGAGCUCACCUUCUGCAAACCGCCAAAGUUCAUGCCGUCCUGCUUCAUCAGGGAUUACAUCAGGGUUAUGUGUACUGAAAAUGUGAAAGAAAAGACCGAGUUGUUAUAUGCCUUGAUCAGUGGUAGGAAGCUUUCGGACCUUCCUAAAAUUAACCAGCAAACCUUGAUAAUUUGGGGAGAGCAAGACAGGGUUUUCCCAUUAGAACUUGGCUUACGGUUGAAAAGACAUUUGGGGGAUACAUCGGAAUUAACCAUUGUCAAGGAUGCUGGCCAUGCCAUAAACCGUGAAAAGCCUGCAGAGCUUUGCAGACUUAUAAAGAACUACAUCAUCGAUUCCUCUGUCAAAUACAGGGAUGAUCGCAAGGGAUGUUGGAAGUUUGCGUUAAGAAGGUUUGCUGGAUCGAGCCUGAGGAAGGUGGACUCAAGCCGGCCACUGAUAUAA
rnacentral:rRNA from 1 species